rnacentral:tRNA from 1 species
GGGGAUUUAGCUCAGUGGUAGAGCGCUGCCUAGGAAGCGCAGACCCUGGGUUCGAUCCCCAGCUCCG